UUCUAUGAGUUUGGACAAGUAUAUAAUAAUAUGUAUCCACCAUUACUGUAUCAUAGAAUAGUUUCAUUGCACUCAAAGUCCUCUGUGCUCUGCCUAUGCAUUUCUCCCUCCUUCUCAACACCUGGCAGCCAUUGAUCUUCUUACUCUCUCCAGAGUUUAUCUUUUCUAGAAUGUCAUAUGGUUGGAAUCAUACAGAAUGCAGUCAAAGAACACAAAAGACUUUAUGCCAUUUAUGAAACCAGGAAUCCUGUCAAGAAGAGUCACGGGAUGGAGGUGCCUGGGGUUCUGUGCUCAUCCAACCCUCCAAAAUGGCUAUGUGAGAGGGAGCUGAUGCAGGACGGUGGGUCCAGGGGCUCCAUGCCUAGCUUUUAGUGCAGGCUGGGCAGCAACCAUGAUGAGUCUUAUAACUCAUGUACAUUAGUUAUACCUGUGUAUACUCACCACAAUGUUUGUCUUUGAUUUUGCUUUCAUAUUAUAAAAGACUGCAUUUUAGGUGAUACUUUUAAUAAUUCACCAAUUGGUUGAUUACUUAGUCUGGGUUCUUCAGAAAAUACAUCCUGAGGCAAAAUUUAAAUGCUACAGUU